rnacentral:rRNA from 1 species
GAUUAACGCUAGCGGCAGGCCUAAUACAUGCAAGUUGUACGGGAUUAUUGGUAGCAAUACUGAUAUGAGAGUAGCGCACGGGUGCGUAACACGUAUGCAACCUGCCUUUAACUGGGGAAUAGCCUUCCGAAAGGAAGAUUAAUACCGCAUAACAUUGCGAAACGACAUCGUUUUGCAAUUAAACCUACGGGGGUUANAGAUGGGCAUGCGUCCGAUUAGCUAGUUGGCGGGGUAAAGCCCACCAAGGCAACGAUCGGUAGGGGUCUGAGAGGAUGA